AGUGACAGGGCUUCCUGUGGAAAUCUCUGGACGGGUCCAACUCAUAACUCCACUGAAAACUGGCUUGCUCUCACAAGUGCUGCCUUGCCCCUCCAUACUGUCACUGAUCACAGCGUAGCAGGAUGUAGCGGAAUGUUGCAGCAAAAACAACCAAAUCAGAGCAGCUCUUGACCAAUCAGCACUUCAUUGCCACACCGGGCAUGCUCUGUAGACUGCUAAUCACAGAGUCAGAAUAUGGCCGUUACACACAGAAAAAAAAAGAAGAAAGAAAAAAAAACAGGAAAGUGGAGGAGACCUGUCCCAACAGGUACAUCUGAAGUUCAACCAGUCUCGUGGGCCCGCAUAGACUGAACAGGGACCUCGUUUUGUCAGCUACAACUAGUUGGGCCGGAGUCUAAGCAAAGAAACGGUGAAAAGGCGAGCUAUACGGUCACACUGAUUUUAAAGGACAAGGCGCUCGUCUGUCACUGUCUUUCUCCACCAGGCCAAGAUAACUUGAACCCCAGAGGGAACGCCUGGGUCUUCAAUGAUUCAAACCUAGUGCUUUAAAAUAAGGACUGGGAACACAUUUUGUAGCCAAUUUGCAUGCCAAGUGUCAAGUAUUCAGAAACCAUAAAUUAAGCUUCUCCAGGAUGCAACACUUCCUAUUAAUUUGAUUAUUCAUACUGGUUGUGUAUAAUCAGUCUGAGAAGCGAGGCUAUUUAACAGAAUUAAAAAUGAACGUGGGAAUUAGGUUUAAAAGCAAAAGAAGAUGGAAAGUACCCAGGGGCCAUGUUUAACCGGUUUCGGCAAAGUGCACGGAACAUUUUCAGACACACUUGGCAGGGCACCGGCUCUACUUUUUCUCCCCCUUUGUCUCAGAGACGCCAUAAAGGUUCCGUAGCUUCAGCCUGCGGUCUGGGCGGUGAUCUCACUUCCGUUCUGACUCAUCGGCCAAGCGAACUUUUCUGCCGCUCGUGCAAAAUUAAACAUCCUCCGGUCUACGUAGUCUCAGCUUUCCUCUCCUUGCAAGAUAAUCUGUUUUACAUCAGCAGUAUGCAUCCUGGAAAAAAACGGGACGGACGACGAUCGGUGAAUUCGGGCGUUCCGUCUUCAAACCUACCCCGGUUCCAUUGUCACAAACCACCACUUUCCUUCCUUGACUGUCCAUUUUCGGAAUCCAAGAACCUGCAGACCUCUCCUGCUCAACUUUCUUCAGCAAGCCGGAAAUCGCUACCCCGGCUCCCGGAAAGGGUUUCUUCCGAGAUCUACUGUGUUCCACAAAAACAAUAGAGGCGGAUAAAAAGAGGCCAAGAAAAAAGGAGGGCGGGAGGUGGAGGGGAGGUAUGGAUUUGAGAGGUAGCAAUUUACUGUAGUAUUUCAGGAACUAAUAAGAAGGUUGCAGAAAGCUCAGUUCUGAGAUGAGGAACUCCCCUUGUACUCUUAUGCAAUAUGGUUCAUCUGGAUUGUUUCUAUAAUAAUCCAGUUGUAUUAAUAGAUGUGGGGGAAAAUGCACAAAAUGUACAUAUGAACAUAAAAAAGAGUGUCGUGCUUCUGCAUUUAAUCUGUGUAAAAGGGACAAUAUGCAUUAAUAACAUUCUUGUAAAUGUGCUAGAGUUAGCCAGGCAGUCUAGUUUUUAUCUGUAGUUGCUGGGCUCCAUGUCUUUGGACUGGAAACUCGAGUGUCACUGUUUUGCUGUUUACGUAAUAAUACAUACAAUUUACCUAGUAGAGUGUGUCAAGGCCCAUUUGAUUGAAUUGGCAUCACAACAGGGCAGCUGCACAUAUAAAACAUCACUGAAUUUUCUUUCUUUCCAAAACUCCUUCCCAUCCUCUCUGUAUUUCAGGGGAGCUUGAGCUGGUUUUGCGCCUCCUGGGUCCACAGCCUUCUUUUUUGGAGGAUGAGUCAUAACCUGACAUCACUAAAGAUGUGUUGGGACACAAAGUGAUUCAGUCCUGUGCGGCAGGGCCUCUGGUCUCAUAUUCUGAUUUGGCCUUUAGAUGCAAAUAAAUGUAGUCUAGACACAGAGCUGGAGAAACGUGCAGGCAUGGUGUAUUAUGAGGCGACAAACUUAGCUGACUGUCAUCUCUCGACAGUGACCCCUUUUUCACAUGUACUCUCUUGGGGUAUGGAGCUGGUCUUGUAACCUAAAGGUCAUAGGUUCAGUUCCUGGGUUUGGCACUGCCCUUGUACCCUUGAGCAAGGUACUUAACCUGCAUUGCCUCAGUAUAUAUCCAGCUGUGUAAUUGGAUACAAUGUAAAAUGCUAUGUAAACAGUUGUGUAAGUCACUCUGGAUAAGAGCUAAAUGCUAAAUGCCAGCAAUGUAAUGUCUCUGUACUAGUCAUUAUGCACAGUAAACUCCUGGUGGGGGUUAUAUGUUUCCCAUUCUACUCUUUGUAUCUUUGUUUUCUACCUUGGUCUUCCUUAACUCUUGUUUGUUUCCCCCUCUCACAAAUGCGGCUACUGGACCCUGUCCCGACUCAC